GCUUCUUUGCAGACAUGAAACCAAAUGCUCUUAUGGCUACACUAAGUGUGUACCUUCUUUUCUACUCUGUAAUUUGCUUUAUUGUCCUCUGAAUGCUGACAUUUCUUACAGCCUGGAUGUUUUUUUUUUGUUUUUCCAGAGUGUUUUACUCUGGAAGUGCUUAGAGCUGUAGUGAGUCAGAAGAAGCUGUCUCAGCUUGCUAUUUCCAUCUUCUAACCUGUUACUUCCCUUAUUUUAUUAAGGCAGAUGGCCUUUAUCCUUGUUACCCUCGGAGGAUCAGUAGAAAUAGCUUCAAAAAGAUGUCUUGCUCUGAUCAUCUUGCAAGCCAACUUAAACUGAGCUUUUUGGAAGGAGAGUUGGAGACUUCUUGUGACCAGGCCAUGGUACCCUCUGGAAAAGCAGAUGACUAAUCACUUACAAGAUAAUUCCAACCACAAAAGGCAAAAGCCUCUUCCUGAAAAAGCUCAGAAGAAUACGGUUGGAGGAGGAAUCACAGAAUCACAGAAUUGUAGGGGUUGGAAGGGACCUCCAGAGAUCAUCGAGUCCAA